rnacentral:rRNA from 1 species
UACAGAGGGGGCAAGCGUUGUUCGGAAUUACUGGGCGUAAAGGGCGCGUAGGCGGCCUGCUAAGUCGAACGUGAAAUCCCUGGGCUCAACCCAGGAACUGCGUCCGAUACUGGUUGGCUUGAAUCCGGGAGAGGGACGUGGAAUUCCAGGUGUAGCGGUGAAAUGCGUAGAUAUCUGGAGGAACACCGGUGGCGAAGGCGACGUCCUGGACCGGCAUUGACGCUGAGGCGCGAAAGCCAAGGGAGCAAACGGG